rnacentral:rRNA from 1 species
CAGCAGCCGCGGGAAUACGUAGGUCCCGAGCGUUGUCCGGAUUUAUUGGGCGUAAAGCGAGCGCAGGCGGUUAGAUAAGUCUGAAGUUAAAGGCUGUGGCUUAACCAUAGUACGCUUUGGAAACUGUUUAACUUGAGUGCAAGAGGGGAGAGUGGAAUUCCAUGUGUAGCGGUGAAAUGCGUAGAUAUAUGGAGGAACACCAGUGGCGAAGGCGACUCUCUGGUCUGUAACUGACGCUGAGGCGCGAAAGCGUGGGGAGCAAACAGGAUUAGAUACCCCUGUAGUCCCUGUCUCUUAUACA